AGACAAGAUUGGACUGGACUAGACUGUAGUCCGUUGUUUGGUGUGCUCCAGGAUUAGGUUUAAUGAGCUUAGGUCGGACUCGCUCGGAUUAAAGACCUCCUUACGCGUUCUUAACGGGGAUCCCCAAUUUCGGGCGGACUUGUAAGCCCUUCGCCGUUCUGAUAGAGAGAGUCGCUGGUCCUCAUCUCUGCGUCUUCCUUCAUCGUCAACCUUGCCUCCCUCAUCGUCGUCGUCCUGACCCUCAUCUCUGCGUCUUCCCUCAUCUGCAUCUGCUCGCUCUUAUCUGCUCGAAGUUGUCAGGUUUCAUCUUCCACAAAUGAGACAUUGGAUGCUGUGAGGCGUGCCCAAGAUUCAGUCAAGUCUGAAAACAUUACGAUCUCGUCUGCAAACGCUUCAAAUCCUGGGAUACCUCCAUCCUCCUUGAUGACUUUUUUAAGAAAGAGAAGAGGAGCAUAAACGGAAGUGGCCAGUGCUCAGAACCCAAGGGAAAACAAGUAGCAAACGACUGAAAACCCUCAAGUCUAGAAGAAGAUUUAGUCCAAGAGCCAGUUACCCUCGGGACCAUACCAUGGUCACUUCUAUGUCUGCUACUGCCCAUUGGUUGUUGUUACACUGAGUCGUAUUCGACUCAUUUGCUUGGACCCCUGCUGAGUUGUUAUUUUGUGUUGCACGAGUUGAAAAUUGUGGGAAGGUGAAGAAGUCAGCCAAAGGCUGUUGCUUGCUCCUCUUGUUGCUGUUCAUGGACUGAAAAAUCUGCUCUAGCUCCUUCACAAAGUUUAUGGCACCCCCAACAAUUGAUGCUUGGUCCCCCUGUAACAAAUAUUUAUAACAAUAUUAAUUUGGUCCAAUCCCCAAAAAAAAUUCCGUUUAAAAGCAUAUGGGUAGAAAUCCAUGUGAGUUUUUUGGGUUAAUCCCAAAAACAUUUCAAUCUAAAGAAAAUGGAGAUGGAAGGGACUUCUAGUUGUACUGCCUCCUUUAAUAGUGGUUAAGCCAGUUUACCCUCGAAGUUCUGUGUUUGUGUAUCUCCCUCCCGUAAUAUGACUUUUGUAAAAUAAAAACAAAAAUAAAAACAUAUGUAGCUCGAUGAAAUUUUUUGGCCCUUUUUGUACCUCUUGAUUUGUUUCUUGUUUUCUUGUUUAAACUUGGAAUACUUGUAGAGCCUGCUCUGUGUUCUAAGAGAAUUGAGAUUGUUUUUGUAACUAGACAAAAUAUUGGAGGGAAAAUAAGUGGUAAAACCGUUUUA